CCUACGGGAGGCAGCAGUGAGGAAUAUUGGUCAAUGGACGAGAGUCUGAACCAGCCAAGUAGCGUGAAGGAUGACUGCCCUAUGGGUUGUAAACUUCUUUUAUAUGGGAAUAAAAUGUUCCACGUGUGGGAUUUUGAAUGUACCAUACCAAUAAGGCUCGGGUAACUCCGUGCCAGCAGCCGCGGUAAUACGGAGGAUCCGAGCGUUAACCGGGUUUAGUGGGUUUAAAGGGAGCGUAGGUGGAUUGGUAAGUUAGUUGUGAAAGUUUGCGGCUUAACCGUAAAAUUGCAGUUGAAACUGGCAGUCUUGAGUACAGUAGAGGUAGGCGGAAUUCGUGGUGUAGCGGUGAAAUGCUUAGAUAUCAAGAAGAACACCGAUUGCGAAGGCAGUUCACUGGACUGCAACUGACGCUGAGGCUCGAAAGUGUGGGGAUCAAACAGGAUUAGAUACCCGAGUAGUC
rnacentral:rRNA from 1 species